CUGCUGACUGAUUUAAAGUAUGAUUCAGUGUGCUUUCAAACUAGGAUCAUUCAUUCCAAUAAGAUUUAUGAUACAUGUUUAAAACCCUCAAAUUAUAAAGUUUAUAUUCAGGAGCUGAAAACAUGGUCCAUAAAGAGAUUUUUAGAAACCAGGUGGUCAGGGCCAGGUUGUUGUAAAGCAGGUUAGGCUGUUGCCUGUGAUGCCAGUAUCCCACACGGGCACCAGUUUACCAGUUGGAGUCCUGGCAGCUCCAGCUUUGGUCCAGCCCCCUGCUAAUGGUGUGGGAAAGCAGCAGAUGGCUCAAGAGCUUGGGCCCCUAACACUGCUGUAGGAGACACAGAUGGAGUUCCAAGGUCCUGGCUUUGGCCUGGUCCCCACCUUCACAAUGUGGGCAUUUGUGAAGUGGAUCAGCAAAUGUGGAUGAUCUCUCUACCUAUCUCUACCUUGGUGUGACUCUGUGAGGCAAACAAAAAUUAAUCUUUUU